GAAAAUUCACGAAUUGUGAGAGUAAGAGUUAUAGCCGGAAUAGGCCUUGCCAAGAAGGAUAUAUUGGGAGCUAGUGAUCCUUACGUGAGAGUGACGUUAUAUGACCCAAUGAAUGGAGUUCUUACAAGUGUGCAAACAAAAACCAUUAAAAAGAGUUUGAAUCCAAAGUGGAAUGAAGAAAUAUUAUUCAGAAAAAUAAUUCUGGAAGGACCUAAGAAACUGUUUACUGUAUUUGCUCUGGGGGUGGGACAAAGGUUCAUCCUCAGCAGCACCGGCUUCUUUUUGAAGUGUUUGACGAAAACCGAUUGGUAAGUUAUAUUGUGCUUAUAUGAAAUAUGAAGUAAGGGUACAUUUCAGUGGAGCAGCCAGGGGAAGUGGGUAAGCAGUCUGGGAUUUGAGUGAUGGCUUGGGGGUGGUUAUGGAGACUCUGGGCAAAAUGGUGAGGGAGAUAGAAUUUGUUUUCUUCCUCCUGGUCCUACUCGCUCCCUUUCCAUUCUCCUCCCAAGCACCUCUUCUGAUUGCCAACAUAUUAUAAGGUCUUACUCAAGACCUCUUGUGACAGGAGAGGACAGAAAACCAACCUCUUUGUCC
rnacentral:lncRNA from 10 species